rnacentral:rRNA from 1 species
GUAGGGAAUAUUGGACAAUGGGGGCAACCCUGAUCCAGCGACGCCGCGUGAGGGACGAAGGCCUUCGGGUCGUAAAGCUCUGUUGCAAGGGAAAAACAAAAUGAUGGUACCUUGCUAGAAAGGAACGGCUAACUUCGUGACAGCAGCCGCGGUAAGACGAGGGAUCCUAGCGUGGCUCGGAAUUAUUGGGCGUAAAGCGGGGGCAGGUGGCUUUGGAAGUCAGGUGGGAAAGCAUGGGGCUUAACCCCAGUAGUGCAUUUGAUACUGCGAAUCUUGAGUGCUGGAGAGGCUACUAGAAUUCUUGGUGUAGUGGUUAAAUACGUAGAUAUCAAGAGGAAUACCGGAGGCGAAGGCGGGUAGCUGUCCAGACGCUGACACUCAGACCCGGAUGCGUGGGGAUCAAACAGGAUUAGAACCCCGUGUAGUCC